rnacentral:rRNA from 1 species
CCUACGGGAGGCACCAGUAAGGAAUCUUCGGCAAUGGACGAAAGUCUGACCGAGUAACGCCGCGUGAGUGAAGAAGGUUUUCGGAUCGUAAAACUCUGUUGGUAGAGAAGAACGUUGGUGAGAGUGGAAAGCUCAUCAAGUGACGGUAACUACCCAGAAAGGGACGGCUAACUACGUGCCAGCAGCCGCGGUAAUACGUAGGUCCCGAGCGUUGUCCGGAUUUAUUGGGCGUAAAGCGAGCGCAGGUGGUUUAUUAAGUCUGGUGUAAAAGGCAGUGGCUCAACCAUUGUAUGCAUUGGAAACUGGUAGACUUGAGUGCAGGAGAGGAGAGUGGAAUUCCAUGUGUGGCGGUGAAAUGCGUAGAUAUAUGGAGGAACACCGGUGGCGAAAGCGGCUCUCUGGCGUGUAACUGACACUGAGGCUCGAAAGCGUGGGGAGCAAACAGGAUUAGAUACCCCGGUAGUC